rnacentral:rRNA from 1 species
UGAGUGCGAGCGGCUACGGCCGCGAAGUGGGUGAUGUCAAGCUUCCAAGAAAAGCCCUAUACCCGUUAAGGCAUGAUGGCCUGUACCCGAAACCGACACAGGUGGGGUGGUAGAGAAUACCGAGGGGCGCGAGGUAACUCUCUCUAAGGAACUCGGCAAAAUGGCCCCGUAACUUCGGGAGAAGGGGUGCCACCGCAAGGUGGUCGCAGUGAAGAGGCCCAGGCGACUGUUUACCAAAAACACAGGUCUCCGCUAAGUCGCAAGACGAUGUAUGGGGGCUGACGCCUGCCCAGUGCCGGAAGGUUAAGGAAGCUGGUCAGCGCAAGCGAAGCUGGCGACUGAAGCCCCGGUGAACGGCGGCCGUAACGAUAACGGUCCUAAGGUAGCGAAAUUCCUUGUCGGGUAAGUUCCGACCCGCACGAAAGGCGUAACGAUCUGGGCGCUGUCUCGGAGAGAGGCUCGGCGAAAUAGAAUUGUCUGUGAAGAUGCGGACUACGUGCACCCGGACAGAAAGACCCUAUGAAGCUUUACUGUAGCUUGGUAUUGUGCCCGGGCUCUGAAUGCGCAGGAUAGGUGGGAGGCUUUGAUCCAUGGCUUGCGGGUCAUGGUGAGCCAACGGUGAGAUACCACUCUUUCAGAGCUAGGGUUCUAACGGUCACCCGUCAUCCGGGGACCGGACAGUAUCAGGUGGGCAGUUUGACUGGGGCGGUCGCCUCCUAAAAGGUAACGGAGGCGCGCAAAGGUUUGCUCAGGCUGGUUGGAAAUCAGCCGACGAGUGCAAAAGCAGAAGCAAGCUUGACUGUGAGACCUACAAGUCGAACAGGGACGAAAGUCGGCUUUAGUGAUCCGACGGUUCUGAGUGGAAGGGCCGUCGCUCAACGGAUAAAAGUUACUCUAAGGAUAACAGGCUGAUCUCCCCCAAGAGUUCACAUCGACGGGGAGGUUUGGCACCUCGAUGUCGGCUCAUCGCAACCUGGGGCUGAAGUCGGUCCCAAGGGUUGGGCUGUUCGCCCAUUAAAGCGGUACGCGAGCUGGGUUCAGAACGUCGUGAGACAGUUCGGUCCAUAUCCGGUGCACGCGCAGGAACAUUGAGAGGAUUUCUCCCUAGUACGAGAGGACCGGGAGGAACGCACCUCUGGUGUGCCAGUUAUCGUGCCAACGGUAAACGCUGGGUAGCCAUGUGCGGAGUGGAUAACCGCUGAAAGCAUCUAAGUGGGAAGCCCACCUCAAGAUGAGUGUUCCCAUGGCAUAAGCCAGUAAGGUCACGGGAAGAACACCCGUUGAUAGGCUCUACGUGGAAGCCGGGUAACCGGUGAAGCGGAGGAGUACUAAUAGACCGAGGGCUUGAC